GUAUUCUCUCUCAACAUCUAGCUGUUGCCUUGUUAUAGAUACCAUCUCCUCCAGAUCUCCCAUUCCUUUCUCCAGCAUCCUUACUUGAUGUUGAAUCCUUAUGAUUUCCUCAUUCAAAAAUACAUUAGUGUUUUGUGAGUUUGGAUCAUAAGUGUUUCUCCAAGUCUUUUGGAAGGAGCUUGCAGUGAAUGGUUGAAUGUGAGCUAUGAUUGGAUGUGGGUAGAGUGGAAUUCCAAAGAACCCUGGACUAAAGAGUCUUGAGAGCAUCCUUGGGUAGUAGCGAGCUCCAGUGUUCUUGGUUGAUG
rnacentral:lncRNA from 1 species